CUGGUGUCAGCCGCCGCGGUAAUACCAGCACCCCGAGUGGUCGGGACGUUUAUAGGGCCUAAAGCAUCCGUAGCCGGUUCUACAAGUCCUCCGUUAAAUCCACCUGCUUAACAGAUGGGCUGCGGAAGAUACUAUAGAGCUAGGAGGCGGGAGAGGCAAGCGGUACUCGAUGGGUAGGGGUAAAAUCCGUUGAUCCAUUGAAGACCACCAGUGGCGAAGGCGGCUUGCCAGAACGCGCUCGACGGUGAGGGAUGAAAGCUGGGGGAGCAAACCGGAUUAGAUACCCGGGUAGUCCCAGCUGUAAACGAUGCAGACUCGGUGAUGAGUUGGCUUAUUGCUAACUCAGUGCCGCAGGGAAGCCGUUAAGUUUGCCGCCUGGGGAGUACGGUCGCAAGACUGAAACUUAAAG
rnacentral:rRNA from 2 species